CCUGGUGGUUAUAGCGGCGUUGCCCCACCCGAUCCCAUCCCGAACUCGGCCGUGAAAGGCGCCAGCGCUGAUGGUACUUCGUCUUAAGGCGCGGGAGAGUAAGUCAUCGCCAGGU
rnacentral:rRNA from 1 species